GGGGCGGUAGCGCAGCGGCAGGCGCACCUUCAUGGCAUGAAGGACACGCCGGUUCGAAUCCGGUCCGCCCCA
rnacentral:tRNA from 1 species